GGUCUAAUAAUGUAGAGGUUAGCACACGGGAUUUUGAUGUGUCAGUCCUUUUCCCGUAACCCAGGUUCGAGUUCUGGUUAGACCU